rnacentral:rRNA from 1 species
UACGAACCGUGCGAACGUUGUUCGGAAUCACUGGGCUUAAAGGGCGCGUAGGCGGGCUUACAAGUCCGGGGUGAAAGCCCCCAGCUCAACUGGGGAAGUGCCUUGGAUACUGUAAGCCUCGAGGGGGGUAGGGGCGUGCGGAACUUCCGGUGGAGCGGUGAAAUGCGUAGAUAUCGGAAGGAACACCGGUGGCGAAAGCGGCGCGCUGGACCCCUUCUGACGCUGAGGCGCGAAAGCCAGGGGAGCAAACGGG